CAGCCGUAAACUAUGCGCGUUAGGUGUAUCGGUAACCACGUGUUACUGAUGUGCCGAAGAGAAAUCGUGAAACGCACCACCUGGGAAGUACGGUCGCAAGGCUGAAACUUAAAGGAAUUGGCGGGGGAGCACCACAACAGGUGGAGCCUGCGGUUUAAUUGGACUCAACGCCGGGAAGCUCACCGGAUAGGACAGCAGAAUGAUUGCCGGGCUGAAGACCCUGCAUGACUAGCUGAGAGGAGGUGCAUGGCGUAGACGUCU
rnacentral:rRNA from 1 species